AUGCGUAUGACCAUUAACUGUCUAUAAAUACAUAAAACACAUUCAAUGUUUAUCAGAACCUAUUAUUUAACAAAGCUUAUUACUAGGUUCACACAGCCAUGAAGGUUUGAAUGCUGGUGAGCUUCUCUUUUUUGUUCAACCAUGACCAUGCUCACCAUAACUACAUCCGAAUAAUUAUAUAAGUAAACAAUUCAGCGUUGUUUUCAUCUGUUUUGAAUUAUGCUCGCAACGCGCUUAUAACCGAGACACGAAGAAGAAACAAUCAGUUUGUUGUUCGUUUUUGGUAGCUCUAGCAGUUUAAAAUAUUGGAUCAUUCUAACAUGCAGCUUUACCAAGGAUGCUUGUUCUUAUUGUUUGGAGUAUGGUGGAUAUCCUUCGUUACAUCCGACAUGAGGCUGUACCCAAUCGUUACACAUUAUGAUAUCCAGGCUAAUCAAAAGUAUGGAAACUGUUCCAUCCAAGAACUGGGAGAGGUUGAAUGGAACAAAACGUACGUUAUUGAGCUUCAAAUUUAUCGAACAUUACAAGACUUGAAGGCAUAUUUUUCCCUUUCCGUUCGUGCACUGGACGGCCUGAUAAAGAAUUCGCUCCUAUCACGGUGGAUCGAUGGUUGCGAGUUUGUUCGCCAACCGUAUAGGGAACGGUUGAUGAAGACGUUUUACGACACGGUGCAGAAAAACAGCAAAAUUCCUCGCUGUCCGCUUAAGCCGGGAGACAUCAUGAUACUGAACAUUACGCCGUCCGCUCUGCCCAUCCCGGCCCUGAUCCCGGAAACGGAUUUCUUAAUCGAAGCCAAAACGUACACCAGAGCACGCACGGAGCUUAUCCUGGAGACGCACUGGGAGGGUAGCUUGAUGCGGCCGGAAAAAAUUAAAAAAGGUGGCAGACGAAAGCAGUAGUAGUUGUUAAAUUGCAAUACUUCAAAUUUCGAUAUAUGUCCAUGUUUCGCAUUUUGUUGCCGCGACCUCUAGCGGAUUAUGUUUGCAAUGUUUCAUUCGCAACACUACACACAGCAUUUUUAUGUAUAAGUAAUGAAUUGAUGUUGUAUUGACGAAUAUUCAGUAAUUAAUUGAAUCAAACCACUGGUAAUCAUUUUGUGUUCAAUAAAUCAGAAUGAACCUUGACACUUGACCAUACACCUUACCCUAGCACUUUUUUUUAAUAUUAGGAAAUAUGACAUUCUUGACUUGAUGGACUUUGUAAAUAAAGUAUUUUACUGGUGAAAUGUGUCGUUAGCUUUCAUAGAACUCACACAAAAAGUUCUUCCCUCGCUUUCAGUAUGUUUAACAAUACAACAAUAGUCUACAUAACCAUAAUUAAAUCAAUCAAUCACCAUGUUUACAAAAAAAGCGCAAGCAAGUAGAUUGACACAUCUUUCGCUGUCGAAAUGUAAUAAACUUAUUGGAGGCAACAUACUUCAAUUUAAGCGUUUAAUAUUCAUUUCCUUUUACGUCAUUCCUCUAGAACAUGAUGUGAAAAUGAUUGGUGGCGAUUGAAAUAGCACAGCACUUUACGAGUUUAUCGCCCCCACAAUCUGUACAUCUACGAUCAUUUAUAAUCGCUCAUCAUUUGGUUCCACCAACAGCGCCGAAAAACAAAACAACACCGAUGAAAAAACUGUUUUAUAACCAAGAUAUUGCACAUAGAAGUGUCUAGCUACAACAAUAUCCCGCUAAAAAUAUCUACCAACUAUAUUUAUUUCAGAUAAAAAAAAGAUAAACCAACACUAAUAAGUAUUAAGUGAAUUGAUCCAUCCUAUAAAAAAUGUCAUCUUCUCAAUAUUGCUUGUUAGCAACCUUUGCGUUUUGGUAUGUUUGUCCUGUUACGUGCAACUCCUCACAGCUGUACCCCGUUGUCGAAUACUACGACAUCAAAGGUAACGAGAAGUACGUAAAUGCAACGAUCCAAGCUAUAGGUGAGCAUGAUCUAAAUGUAACAUAUCUGAUGCAGUUUGAGGCCUACCGACCAGUCAACAGUAUGAAGACAUUUUUCGUCUUCUACAUCCGAGCGCUAGACGGUGCGGUCAAGAAUGUACUCUUUUCCCGGUGGAUCGACGGUUGUGCAUUCCUCCGGCGCCCGGAUAGCGAUCGGUUAAUUAAAAUAUUUUUCGACGUUAUCAAAGAGUAUAGCAAAGUACCUCGCUGUCCAUACAAGCGUGGUGAUACCAUGGUGCUGAAUAUCACGCCAUCCGCCUGGCCGAUUCCAAGCGUUUUUCCAGCGACAGACUUUUUGAUUGAAGUUAAAACAUACAUCAAGGUGGGAGUACUUCUGGCGUUUGAAACACGCUGGUUCGGUAGUCUUGUGAAAAUCGAACAGGUGAAAGAACGAUGGUCUGCGACAAAAGGGAAGAAUUGAAGCUGUGCAUAAUAAUAUCCCUUGCAAGUUACGAUUUCUCGAUUUUCACUACCCAGUUAUGUGUCUUACAAGCCAAUAAACAUUACUUUUAGUUUAUGCAUAAAUGAUCGUCAAGAUCCCGAUGAAUUGAUGAAUACACUAUAAAAUACAAAGCUUUUACACAGAAAGAUACACAAGGCUUACUAUCUGUUUACAGUGGUGGUGAAGCGUCACUACAAUUAAGCUAAUAAUGUGAUCUGUACCUAUAUUUGCACAGAGAUAUACUAAAUAAUUGAAACACUAAUGGAAUGCUCAGGGGUCGGUAUAAUUUCCCUGUAGUAGCUUUCAUUGAACUGUUUGCUGCACUGGACUUAUUGUCGUCAUUAUUUCCGUUCUAAUGCCACCGGUCGCAACGCAAUUAUUCUACAAUGGGUGCACAGUUCUCGAUGAUUCUAGAAUUUUUGCAUGGCUAAAAUCUGAUCAUUAAACUAAACUAUUUUGCACCACGUCCCAUCAAAUAGACGUAGGAUGCUGUCCUAUAAGGUAUGCAUAUUUGUAGCGUUAGGAGCUUGUUGGAUAACGUUCGUUUCAUCCGAAAGGAAGGUAAGCAAAAAUCAUACUUAAAUAAACUUAGACACGCCAAAUUGAUGGAUCUGUGUCUGCGUUCCAACAGUUGCUUAUCGUGGUUACACACAAAGAAAUCUUAGCCAAUAAAAUGUGGGUCAACUAUUCGCUGGUUGAAACGGGCGGCCAUGAAACCAAUGUCACGUAUCUAGCAUACCUAGAAGCAGUGCGCGAAAUAAGAGACAUGAAGGUACGCUUCGUUUGAUUUUAUUUGCCAAAUGCUAACAGCUGCCGACGACACCAAACCAAACCAUUUGCUCUUUCUUCCUCAUUCUAGACCUACUUCACAUAUUCUGUGCGGGCAUUCAACGGCGCGAUACAGAAUCCAAUCAUCUCUCGGUGGGCCGAUCCGUGCGAGCUUAUCAGACGACCUCCGAAGGAAAAACUGCUCAAAAUGUACUACGAUCCGCUCGUUAAGCACAGCCGAAUCAUUCGUUGCCCUUUCAAGCCCGGCGACAAUAUGCUGCUAAACAUUACGCCGUCCAUACUGCCCGUCCCGAAUUUCAUACCGGAGAAUGACUUCUACAUCGAAGCUACCACGUACACGAGGGCGCGCACGAAAAUCAUCUUCGAAUCGCGCGUGUACGGAAGUUUGUUGAGGGUAAACGUGCAUAAUAAAAAGUCCUAAUGGUGUACAAUGAGUAUCAGAAGUCACAAUUAAUAAUCAAACUAUAAGAGAUCACUUCUUUCACAUAUCCAUGGAUCCAUGUAGUAUAAGGAUUUCCACUCGAUCUAUACCGCUAUUCUCUUAAGCGUGCAAUGAAAUAUAAUUUCUCAAAACAUGUUUUACUUGGUCCAAAUCAGUUGGAUCGAUAUGACGAGAUGAGUCAUUUUGCCACAGAAAGAAUCAUCCGUUUUGACUCAUAUACGUUUAAAAAAUCACAUAC